UACGAAGGGGACUAGCGUUGUUCGGAAUUACUGGGCGUAAAGCGCGCGUAGGCGGAUCGCUAAGUCAGGGGUGAAACCCCAGGGCUCAACCCUGGAACUGCCUUUGAUACUGACGAUCUGGAGAUCGGGAGAGGUUGGUGGAAUUCCGAGUGUAGAGGUGAAAUUCGUAGAUAUUCGGAGGAACACCAGAAGCGAAGGCGGCCAACUGGCCCGAUACUGACGCUGAGGCGCGAAAGCGUGGGGAGCAAACAGG
rnacentral:rRNA from 1 species